UUUUCAUACUAUUGUUUUUGCAGUCCAUGACAUUUUCAUAUGAAUCUUGUGGAUGAAUUCUAAAGAGACUGACUAAUUGUUACUUAUAGGCACUGUUUAGGUAUGCAUCCCUAAUUUAUAUUUCUACCUGGCACAGGAGCCCAUCCUAUUGUCCUUGCCUCCAAUCCCUGAAUCCAGAAAAGACAGUGGGGUUUCGGUCCAAGAUUGCCGAGGACGAUGAGCAGCUUGGUGGUGCAGCUGCGAACGGCUGCGAUCAUCAGCAGAAGGCACGGACGCUAGGAAAUAUGCUUCAACAAGUGCAUCAGCUCACUAAGAUGACUGACACAUCAGCAGCUGAAGCAAGGGCAGGAAAGGAUAUACAAGGUAUACCAUGGGAGAGGUUACAAAUUACCAGGAAGGAUUACAGAAAAGCUAGGUUGGAACAGUACAAAAACUAUGAAAACUUCCCUCAAUCCGGAGAGCUCAUGGAUAAGGUCUUUAAUUACUAUAAAUUGUACCUGUCAAUGUUUAGGUUUACGGUAUAACAUAUCCACGCGACCAAGCAUGAUUUUUUUUACAAAGCAGAUGAAGAGAAUUCUAAGGGAUGUUGUAUGAA